rnacentral:misc_RNA from 1 species
AUAAUACGCAGAUCAAAUCAUGAUACAAUAUAAUUAUUGACGCGUGUCAUGAAUGAGCGGAUGACAAUUUUGAUAUUUAAGUUUAAUCAUUUGUUUUCAUAUUGUGAGCUCAAAUCGUAAAAUUGCCUGUGUGAUGCAGCAUCCGAUUUUCAACGCACGUGCAAUAGGGCACAGAAUAAGAAAUUAUACGUUUAAUUGGAAGGUUUGCAUUAAUUGUUGCCUGCAGUUAAGGCGCCACCAGCUUAUGCUGAUUAGAGAGAUCGUGGUUAACUAUAAAACUAUGUAGAUCGUGAUUUGUGAUGAUUUCAUAUUGUAU